rnacentral:rRNA from 1 species
AUGAACGCUGGCGGCGUGCCUAAUACAUGCAAGUUGAGCGGUAAGGCUUUCACUCUGUACUUUAGAAUUUCUAGAGUGUGGUGUGAAAGUACACGAGCGGCGGACGGCAGAGUAACGCGUAGGAACGUACCCCAAAGUGAGGGAUAAGCCCGGGAAACCGGGUCUAAUACCGCAUGUGGUCUUCGGAUUAAAGCUUUAUGCGCUUUGGGAGCGGCCUGCGUAUGAUUAGUUAGUUGGUGAGGGUAACGGCUCACCAAGACGACGAUCAUUAACUGGUCUGAGAGGAUGAUCAGCCUGACUGGAACUGAGACACGGUCCAGACUCCUACGGGAGGCAGCAGUAGGGAAUUUUCCGCAAUGGGCGAAAGCCUGACGGAGCAACGCCGCGUGCAGGAAGAAGGCCUUCGGGUUGUAAACUGCUUUUAUCUGUGACGAUUAUGACGGUAACAGUUGAAUAAGGGUCUGCUAACUACGUGCCAGCAGCCGCGGUCAUACGUAGGACCCAAGCGUUAUCCGGAAUUACUGGGCGUAAAGAGUUGGCGUAGGUGGCAUGUAAAGCGAAUAGUGAAAGCGUGUGGCUCAACCACAUAUCCAUUAUUCGAACUCACAAGCUAGAGCAUGAGAGAGGGUACCUGGAAUUCCCAGUGUAGGAGUGAAAUCCGUAGAUAUUGGGAGGAACACCGAUGGCGUAGGCAGGGUACUGGCUCAUUGCUGACACUAAGGCACGAAAGCGUGGGGAUGCGAACGGGAUUAGAUACCCCGGUAGUCCACGCCGUAAACUAUGGAUGCUAGCUGUUAGGAGUAUCGACCCUUCUAGUAGCGAAGCUAACGCGUUAAGCAUCCCGCCUGUGGAGUACGAGCGCAAGCUUAAAACAUAAAGGAAUUGACGGGGACCCGCACAAGCGGUGGAGCGCGUUUGUUUAAUUCGACGAUAAGCGAAGAACCUUACCAGGGCUUGACAUCCUGCGAAUUUCUCCGAAAGGAGAAAGUGCUUUAUUGAGGCGCAGUGACAGGUGUUGCAUGGCCGUCGUCAGCUCGUGUCGUGAGAUGUUUGGUUAAGUCCAUCAACGAGCGCAACCCUUAUAGUCAGUUGAAUUUCUCUGGCUUAGACUGCCCCGGCAACGGGUGAGGAAGGAUGGGGAUGAUGUCAGGGUCAGUAUUUACCCUUACGUCCUGGGCUACAAACACGCUACAAUGGCCGGUACAAAGGGGCAGCCAAACCCGCGAUGGGGGAGCAAAUCCCAUCAAAGCCGGUCUCAGUUCGGAUAUAGUAGGCUGAAUACUCGCCUGCUUGAAGCUGGAAUCGCUAGUAACGGUAAGUCAGCACAUUACCGUGAAUACGUUCCCGUGGGUCUUGUACACACCGCCCGUCAAACCAUGAAAGUCGCCAAUACCCGAAGUCCGAUUUUUAUCGGCCUAAGGUAGGGGAGAUGAUUGGGGUU